AAAGGACUCCUGGAGGGGAGACACUUACACUGAAUCUUAAACUCUCCGGAAGACCUUUCCAAGAGAGACAAUGCUGGGAUGGGACACGUCUCUUACAGACCACAAGAAAAAUGGAAUUGCUGGGUCAUGGCGUCCACAAGUGCCUAGUCUCACUCUGCCACGUUGCCCUCCAGAAUGGCUUUGUCACUUUGCACUCCCACCAAUGACACAUAAAGGGACUUGCUUCCCCCCAACCAUGAAUUUUUCAUGCCUGUCAACUCCCAUCUUCUUCCCUCUUGAGGACCGCCUCUCUAGCAGAAGAAAAUUGAUGGAACACAAAUCUGUUCAGGAUCACAGCUGAUUAACAGAUGUCAUAAAGAAAAAGAUUAAAACUCUUGGCUCAGAA